GACGUAGGGCGCAAGGCGUUGUCCGGAUUUAUUGGGCGUAAAGAGCUCGUAGGCGGCUCGUUGCGUCGGCUGUGAAAAACCCGCAGCUCAACUGUGGGCUUGCAGCCGAUACGGGCGGGCUGGAGUUCGGCAGGGGAGACUGGAAUUCCUGGUGUAGCGGUGAAAUGCGCAGAUAUCAGGAGGAACACCGGUGGCGAAGGCGGAUCUCUGGGCCUUACCUGACGCUGAGGCGCGAAAGCUAGGGGAGCGAACAGG
rnacentral:rRNA from 1 species